rnacentral:misc_RNA from 1 species
GAUUUUUAUCAAAAUAAAUCAGACUUGUACAAUUCAUACAGUGUUUGGUUGGUUAACACUCGAAGACAGUUGUUACCCUGUCCCAAGUUUAUUAUCAAGUACCAGAAAUGAUCCUUCCGCAGGUUCACCUACGGAAA